rnacentral:lncRNA from 1 species
CUUGUAUUGACGGGGAAAUACACAUGUCCUUCCCAUGCCUGAUAGAACACAUAGCUGGUUUUUAUCUGAAAAGAAGAGGAAAGUUAUAUUGGAACUUCCUAAUAUCGUUUGUGGCUAUCAAAUUCAGGUGGAAAAGAGUUUGUUCCAGCACAUUUGUAGUCCAUGUUUACGUUCCUAUUAUGGAGUCGGUACAUGCACAUGACACAUUUGUAUUUCCAUGAACAUUUGAGAAUCAACUGGACAGUUUCUGCCAGAAAACUAGAAGGGUGAGUGGAGUUUCUGAGUCUUUAUUUGGAUUGUAAUGGAUUUUUAGAUUUGA